AUUUAAAAUAUCUUAAUAUGUUCCAUUGGUAUUGAUACUAUGGUGUUUAGUAUGGCAUCAAAAUUCUCUGAAAAAGUAUUCAUUUUUACUAAGGGGCCAGCUGAGGUCCACCUCUGGGUUUGGGAUGUUCUCGCUGCAUUGAAGACUCAUUGGUGGCCUUCAGCUGUUGUCUGUUCUUUGGUCUGGUUGAUAUCUCUGACAUAUUCCCCAUUUCCAUUUUCAUCUUUAUUAAUGUGUAAUUUUAAGUUGACAUGAAAAAAUGAAAGCAAUCUUUACCGUUCAGUUUUCACAAGAACUUCAACUGUUUUU
rnacentral:lncRNA from 1 species